rfam:Dendroctonus ponderosae Seq01025381, whole genome shotgun sequence.
UAAAAGGUUCCUUUUGGAACCACAUUUUGAACCUAUUACCAACGU